CACGCAUUGACACAGCACUUCUAAGGAAUUAAGGAAAUCAUGAAUAAGUACAUAAAUAUUUAUAAAAGAGAUAUUAAGAAUACUCACACAUAAGCAUAAAAUAACUAUGAUACUUUACAUGGUUGGUUUUUUUCCCCAAUACAUAAUACAUGGGAAACAAAUCAAAAGUACCUUUCAAGACUAUUUAAUCGGUUUUACUGUCAGUGAUAACAUGCACAAGACUGUAAUUUUAUAGUUAUUGUCUAUUUCAUUUUCUUAAAUGUCCUCUGAAAGAUUAUGAAUAUGCAUAAAAAAAUAGAUUUACAUUUCAGAAAUAUAACACAUUCAGGAAGCCCUUUGUAAACAUAGACCUCUUUCUACAAUUUUUUCCUGCAUUUCCCAUAUAACAAUUUAUGACAUUAUAAAUUUAUAAACUGAAUUCAGGCCAUUAACAUUAAAAGAAAAAAAAUUAAGAUUGAAUGCACUAAACUGCUUUUUAUUUUUAAGAGCUAGAUACAAAAUUUGUUUUAUUUAAGAGCAGACCAAAAGAGUUCAUUUUCUGUAGAUGUUUAGUAAUCUAAAAACGUUAACAUGCAGUUUUUAUGUUCUUGAUAUUACAAGCUAUUACUCUUUGCCUUCCUUCAACCCCCUCCUUCCAUCUCUGGACAAUUAUAGAAACUAUAGAACAGAUUUGGCUACUACUUAUUCCUCCUAUACACAAGAAAUUUUCCAGUGAAUUCUACAUCUGUUUGAAAGUGAUGAAAACAAAAUUUUGCUUAUGUUUUGAAAACAAUAGUGGAAGAGAAUAGAAGUCUUUUUAUAAAGCACAUUAACACAUCAUAAAAAUAAGUAAUGAUAUUAAGAAAAUCACUAACACUAGUUCUUUAUUUCUACAUUCUGUCCUUUCUAGAAAUCCCUCUUUACUGAACCACUCAGAAACAUAACUAUCAGGAUAAAAUAAUAUCACAAAAGUGAUUUUAAGAAGGCACAGUCUAACAAUUCUUAAUAUUUGGCCUAUUUUAUGUUAAUCUUUGUAUAAUGAUUUGAAAUCUUUUUUUCUUAUAAUGAUUUGAAUUUUUUUUCCUCUUAUUU
rnacentral:lncRNA from 1 species